UUCUUAUUUUAUGUGAAUUCUUGCAGACUUGUCUUGUAUUUUACACUUACAGCUUAUUUCAGUGAACUGGCCACAUUUCAAGUUCUCAAUGGCCAUAUGACUCAGGCUACCAUAUUGGAGAGCACAGCUCUAGAUCUUUUUGAAACCAGUGCAGGGCAGGCCAGGAUCUUGAUAUUUGGCUGCUUUGUGAAGGCAAAGUGGGAACAGAGAGACUGCUGAGAGGUGACUGUGAUUGGGCAGAGAUUUGGACCAGGAGAGAGCAUGAGAGGAUGCUGGACCAUGCUGCCAUUCUGGGGGAAAGGUGGAGUGUGAAAUGAGCUGACAGAAGAGACCAACAUGGAGAGCCUCACCCCCACGGCCCACAGCAGACACAUCACAGAGUUACCAGGAAUUCCAGAAAGGAAGUCAAGUGAUGAAAGACUGAAGGAUGGGAACCCUGGGAGGACUGCUCCCUAAGGGAAGCUGGGUGGAAAGUUCUCACGGAGUCCAGCCCCGUUCCGCCUGCUCUGCCCUGGGGGUCUCCCAGCCCCUGUCCCUCCGCGAAUUGAGGAGCGGUCCUAAUUGCCAGUUGCCUUAAAGAGUUUGGGGAAACUGAAGACUGGGGUCCUUUAUAGGCAGGUUCUGGAUCAAGAGGGGUGGGGAGAGGCCCUGCAUUUGGAUUCCUGAAAUCCACAGAAAACCCUGCCCUUACACUACUUUAUUUUAAAGGUUUUGUUUUUUUUUAAAUUACAAAAGUAAAACAAGCGUGCUGUAAAAAUAGCAUAAACAUGUACAGUGCAUAGGCUGG